GAUGAACGCUAGCGGCAGGCCUAAUACAUGCAAGUCGAACGAGAUUAAGAGGCUUGCUUCUUAUGAAAGUGGCGCACGGGUGCGUAACGCGUAUGCAACCUACCUUAAUCAGGGGGAUAGCCCGAAGAAAUUCGGAUUAAGACCGCAUAAAAACACAGGAUAGCAUUAUCCACUGUUCAAAUAUUUAUAGGAUUAAGAUGGGCAUGCGUGUCAUUAGCUAGUUGGCGGGGUAACGGCCCACCAAGGCGACGAUGACUAGGGGAUCUGAGAGGAUGACCCCCCACACUGGUACUGAGACACGGACCAGACUCCUACGGGAGGCAGCAGUAAGGAAUAUUGGUCAAUGGAGGGAACUCUGAACCAGCCAUGCCGCGUGCAGGAAGACAGCCCUCUGGGUCGUAAACUGCUUUUAUUCGGGAAUAAACCUUUCUACGUGUAGGAAGCUGAAUGUACCGAAGGAAUAAGGAUCGGCUAACUCCGUG
rnacentral:rRNA from 1 species